UGUCUCUGUCCGAAGUCCUCCUUCAUAAUGUCUGUAGGAACACAUUAGUUUUAGUAACUUUAGUAACUUCUUACAAAGGCCUCCAUGAGACCAUGGUCUGUGUCCGCUGUGAGACUCCAAUAUAAACAGGAGUGGGAAAGGAGAUUUGAGAGUAGAGACGUGUAGGAUGAAAAGGGAAAAGGGAAGAGAGAGAGGUGCAGAAAGAACAAACAGCCUAUUGAGGAUAUUGGUAGCCAUAGAAGGUUUUGAUGCCUGCACCAAGUCUCGAAGGGAACAAGUAGAUGCUACUCUCAGUGUCCACUAAACCAUAAGUCCUUUGAGGAUACAGGAAGACAUCCACCAAUCUCAAGAUCAAAAUGUGAUAAGAGGAAGUCUGCAAGCAAAGAAGAUGUUACCCACCACCACCUCUUACAGAAAUGGCAGAAUCUCUGGGAAUAAUGAGAAAAGCCUGCCUGUAGCAUGUAGGAGAGUAAAAAAGAGAAUAAGCAACCUGAUGCCACAUAUUGAAAUUUCAUUUGACAAAUAUGCAUUGAAUAUCUACUAUGUGGCAGACAGCCUUCAAGCAGGAGGGAUACACAGAUGAACCAAAUGUAGGCCCUGCCUGUGAGACUCCAGACUGGACAGAAUGCACUUAAGUCCACAUAGCAGUAAUACACGUCGGACUGUGAGGAUGGCUGAGCAGAAGGAAGAGCAAGGAAUUCUCUAUGGGAAGACUCUGGAAGGCUUUAACAAGGAUGUGCUCUUUAGCUGAACCUUAAAGCAUGAGUGAAAAAAAAGAGCAGAAAAAGGUGGUGUUUUGAGCAGAGAACAGACACUGAGCAAGAAGCAGAAGAGCAGAGGAGCCGAGAAAGCUGGACAGAGUUCUAGAAAUGUGGCAUGGAAGGAAUGAAAGGUCUGAGGAGGGAAAGGAGGUCAGGACCAACUACGAAUGGUCUGGAAUGACUUGCUACACGUGGAUUUGACUUUAUUUGUAGGCCGGGGGGUUGUAGAGGUUUUAUAUUUUUAUACAUUUAUUUUUUAAUUUUCAUAUUUCAACAGAGCUUGUUUCAAGUAAUUCUUAUGUAAAACAUGAAUGUAUACAACAAAAACAAGCGGGUGAUGUUUCAUUAGUACAAACGUGCUUUUAUAAUCUUAACUUUAUUAAGCUUGCUUAUUCUUAAGUUAACCAAUGAGAACAAUUCUAAUCGUCUGCACAUGAGUCAAGAUUUUGCACUCUGUGCAAGUGACUGAAAACUCAAUUCAAACUAACUCAGGAAAAAAAAAAGUGGGGGAAGGGAGGAAGAAGAUUUAUUACCCAUAUAAAUCCAGGAGGGGUUCUGGGAUUCAGGAAUCAGUUGAUUGUGGGGCUGAAAGAAUAUUAUCAAAGCUUCAGCUGAUUUCUCAGCUCCAUGUCCCCUCUAUAGUAGCUGCUUCAUUCUCAACAUGAGCAUCCUUGGUAGUCCCCAGGAACGCUGGGCUUAGAAUCACCUUUACAAGCGGCAAUCUUCCUUUCCUACCAAAGCCCACCACAGUCCCAGAACUAAGCCUCAGCGACCUGGCCCGCCUCACAUGUCCAUCCCUGAACCUGUGGCCAACACAAUGGUGUAUCCCAAAUGAGCAUGGUGGGUCCUGCAUACAUCCAGGUCUCGAAGGAAAAUCGAGCUGCUGUCACCGGAAGGAGGAUGCACAGGAAAAAAAAAACACAGUUUAUUCUAUUUUGACCAAUGUGAAAAUUUUAAAUUUAGGAUAAGGGAUUGCAGGUUUAUACCAGUUUUAACACUCACUUUGUUUCUGUAUUUUAUUUGCACAGUAUUGAGAAAAUUCUGAUUCAUUACUGGUAACUGUUUUUUAAAUAGCAUACCUGUUUAAAUUACACCUGGAACAUUCAAAAUAGUCUUAAAUUAAACUUGUGCCAAAGUGUAAGUAGGUUGAAAGUCUGAGCAAUGGGAAGUUUUAUUUCAAAGUUUAAUUCUACAAACAAUCUCCUCUGUUAAUUUAAGUGUUCACUGGGAAGAUGUUUCUCAAAUGUAUCUAUAAUAUCUAACAAGAAAUUCAACAAUGUUACUUAUUUUUUAAACUUAGUAUCUCAGUAACUAUUGCUCAAAGCUUGAGUGUGAUAAAAUUAAUGUUUUGCUCUUUGAGUCAUAAAGUUAGGUUUCAACUUAAUUGCUGGCAUGCUAUCAGCAAAUGUAAGCAUGGUGAUAUUGCAACUUCACAUUGCCAAACUGAACUCAUUCAGUUUCUUGAAAAACAUCAGCAAGUUUAUGCAACUCUGUUAUAUCAGAGAACUAUUUGCUAAGUCUCAUUUGGGAUACAAUAUUUAGUGAUUUCUUGUCUCAUUUGAAAGAGUAAUAACAACACCUUGCCUCAAGACAGUUGGUAAGUGUACUUUCCCAGGAGAAAGUACACUGUGGAACCCACAACCCAAUACAUUCCCAAAAACUAUAAAAAGGCUGAAAUUGGAAUCUCCUGUCUCAUUAAACUGACAAUGUAAAGGAAAUCGCUAAUCACUGUUUUUGCUUUUGUUUUUUGAGACGGAGUC
rnacentral:lncRNA from 1 species